CUUGUACUUUAUGAUUGUGUGGAUUAGGCUUAUAUAAUAUAGCCUAAUAUAAUUAAUAUUAAUUAAUCAAGAUAAGGGCCUUGGGCCUUAGAAGUUAAAAUUAAUAAGAGUAUUAAUUUUAAUUAACAUAGUAAUUAAAAAUUGUUUUGUUUAAGAGACACAGCUUUUAUAAAGAGUUGUGUACUUUCAAAUACGUUCAACAGGUAUUUGAAAUGGUAUAAAACAACCUAUAUAUUUGCAAUCUCAGUUUCCAAUAGAAUUAUCUUUUCUUCCUCUCUCUCUUUCGUACAAAAUUCCUAGAGAGUAAACACACAAAGCAAUUCGUCAGAAUUCUAUAAUUCAAUGUGGGUUGUAGAAUUGGAUAAUUGCAUUUUGGUCGAGCAGACAUCGUAGAACCACAAGCACAAGAGUGAGAUGAAAAUACUAUUCGAAUGACAUUUUGUGUUAGCCUCUAUGCGUGAUUCAAUCAAGUCAGUAUCAUUUUAAUUCCUAUAAUUAUUUUUAUUAUUUCAUUAUGUAUUACAAGUAUUAUUCGUUAAUAAAGAAUCAAUAUUUCAAGAUCUUUUUUUUUUUUUUUUAAUUGUUCUCCAACAAACUGUACAGUCAAGAGGGAGAAGGGAAACAUAAUCUCCAUUCCUAUGGAAAUAGAGGACGGUUUAUUAUUGGAUCAAUAUGAUUACAUUCAUUUUUUCAAGAUCGUUUUAUCGUACAAGCAAGAACCUUCUUCAUUUACAGCCACACCCAAGAUAACAUUUAGGUUUG
rnacentral:lncRNA from 1 species